rnacentral:rRNA from 1 species
GACGAACGCUGGCGGCGUGCCUAAUACAUGCAAGUCGAGCGGACCAAACAGGAGCUUGCUCUUGUUUGGUUAGCGGCGGACGGGUGAGUAACACGUGGGUAACCUGCCCGUAAGACCGGGAUAACUCCGGGAAACCGGAGCUAAUACCGGAUAACACCGAAGACCGCAUGGUCUUUGGUUGAAAGGCGGCUUCGGCUGCCACUUACGGAUGGGCCCGCGGCGCAUUAGCUAGUUGGUGAGGUAACGGCUCACCAAGGCGACGAUGCGUAGCCGGCCUGAGAGGGUGACCGGCCACACUGGGACUGAGACACGGCCCAGACUCCUACGGGAGGCAGCAGUAGGGAAUCUUCCGCAAUGGACGAAAGUCUGACGGAGCGACGCCGCGUGAGCGAAGAAGGGCUUCGGAUCGUAAAGCUCUGUUGUUAGGGAAGAAGAAGCGCCGUUUGAACAGGGCGGCGCGGUGACGGUACCUAACGAGAAAGCCCCGGCUAACUACGUG